rnacentral:rRNA from 1 species
AAAAGAAACCAACAGGGAUUGCUCUAGUAACGGCGAGUGAAGCAGCAAUAGCUCAAAUUUGAAAUCUGGCGUCUUCGACGUCCGAGUUGUAAUUUGUAGAGGAUGCUUCUGAGUAACCACCGACCUAAGUUCCUUGGAACAGGACGUCAUAGAGGGUGAGAAUCCCGUAUGCGGUCGGAAAGGUGCUCUAUACGUAGCUCCUUCGACGAGUCGAGUUGUUUGGGAAUGCAGCUCUAAAUGGGAGGUAAAUUUCUUCUAAAGCUAAAUAUUGGCCAGAGACCGAUAGCGCACAAGUAGAGUGAUCGAAAGAUGAAAAGCACUUUGGAAAGAGAGUUAAAAAGCACGUGAAAUUGUUAAAAGGGAAGGGAUUGCAACCAGACUUGCUCGCGGUGUUCCGCCGGUCUUCUGACCGGUCUACUCGCCGCGUUGCAGGCCAGCAUCGUCUGGUGCCGCUGGAUAAGACUUGAGGAAUGUAGCUCCCUCGGGAGUGUUAUAGCCUCUUGUGAUGCAGCGAGCGCCGGGCGAGGUCCGCGCUUCGGCUAGGAUGCUGGCGUAAUGGUCGUAAUCCGCCCGUCUU